GACGAACGCUGGCGGCGUGCUUAACACAUGCAAGUCGAACGGAAAGGCCCUGCUUUUGUGGGGUGCUCGAGUGGCGAACGGGUGAGUAACACGUGAGUAACCUGCCCUUGACUUUGGGAUAACUUCAGGAAACUGGGGCUAAUACCGGAUAGGAGCUCCUGCUGCAUGGUGGGGGUUGGAAAGUUUCGGCGGUUGGGGAUGGACUCGCGGCUUAUCAGCUUGUUGGUGGGGUAGUGGCUUACCAAGGCUUUGACGGGUAGCCGGCCUGAGAGGGUGACCGGCCACAUUGGGACUGGGAUACGGCCCAGACUCCUACGGGGGGCAGCAGUGGGGAAUAUUGCACAAUGGGCGGAAGCCUGAUGCAGCAACGCCGCGUGCGGGAUGACGGCCUUCGGGUUGUAAACCGCUUUCGCCUGUGACGAAGCGUGAGUGACGGUAAUGGGUAAAGAAGCACCGGCUAACUACGU
rnacentral:rRNA from 1 species